rnacentral:lncRNA from 1 species
GAAACGAAUCUGGACCAUUCAUUGCAUUUAAUCGCGAUCGUCUGAUCGUGUCUGAGGAGGGAAUGGAUCUGGAUCGUCCACGCACGCGGGAAUAAAUCUAAAUCGUCUGAUUAUGGGCACGUAGAUUGCUAACGUGGCCUCCCGCAUGACACCGAAUCAGUAUGGCUUACCACGCGGCUCACUCUGAUUCGUCAUGGUUACUGAUUGGGCGAUUUUACGUGACAUAUUUUUUCUAAAUUGCUUCUAGUU